rnacentral:rRNA from 1 species
ACAGCAGUCGCCGCGGUAAUACGUAGGUGGCGAGCGUUGUCCGGAAUUAUUGGGCGUAAAGGGAGCGCAGGCGGACAUAUAAGUCCAUCUUAAAAGUGCGGGGCUCAACCCCGUGAGGGGAUGGAAACUGUAUGCCUUGAGUGCAGGAGAGGAAAGCGGAAUUCCCAGUGUAGCGGUGAAAUGCGUAGAUAUUGGGAGGAACACCAGUGGCGAAGGCGGCUUUCUGGACUGUAACUGACGCUGAGGCUCGAAAGCCAGGGGAGCGAACGGGAUUAGAUACCCCUGUAGUCCCUGUCUCUUAUACA